rnacentral:tRNA from 1 species
UCCCUCAUAGCUCAGUUGGUAAAGCAUCUGCCUGCAAUGCAGGAGACCCAGGUUCAAACCAUGGGUCGGAA